rnacentral:rRNA from 1 species
AUUGAACGCUGGCGGCAGGCCUAACACAUGCAAGUCGAGCGAGCGGCGGACUGGUGAGUAAUGUCUGGGAAACUGCCUGAUGGAGGGGGAUCACUACUGGAAACGGUGGCUAAUACCCCCUACCAUCAGAUGUGCCCAGAUGGGAUUAGCUAGUAGGUGGGGUACCGGCUCACCUAGGCGACGAUCCCUCGCUGGUCUCAGAGGAUGACCAGCCACACUGGAACUGAGACACGGUCCAGACUCCUACGGGAGGCAGCAGUGGGGAAUAUUGCACAAUGGGCGCAAGCCUGAUGCAGCCAUGCCGCGUGUAUGAAGAAGGCCUUCGGGUUGUAAAGUACUUUCAGCGGGGAGGCGUUACCCACAGAAGAAGCACCGGCUAACGCCGUGCCAGCAGCCGCGGUAAUAC